rnacentral:lncRNA from 1 species
GGAUGUGAAGGCUGAAGGAACUUCCCACUUCGCACUCACUUAAAACUGUUUCGUAUCUUCAACGUUCUUCCAAUAAUCGACUACUAUCCAAUCGAAGUGUCAUCGCCUCUAAAACUUAAGAAGACGUUGUUUUCAUACGGCUUCCGUCGUUUUUUGGGUUACAACGUGUUCUUAAGUUUUGAGGCAAUGUUACUCGUUAAUGAUAAUUGUUGGCCGAGAUCUUAGAUCUCGCUGCAUCCUGAUCGUAUAUAAUCCCUCAGUCAAAUCGAGUUUUGAGUGCAUGACGUUUUCAUUAGUGCUCUGUGUUUUGUCUAACUGGAUCUGCGCUAGUUCUUAUGAAUACUUUUCGUAGCUUUUUGGAUUCUUAUUAAUUUUAAGAAGAAGAACCUGUUCUGAAAUUGAUUUUAUCAUGUAAACUUUCUGUUUCAUUUACAGAAUGAGGGAUAGAUAGGAAAUUGAGGAAUGCAUAAAUUGCUCGUUUUCUUUUACUCUCUAACGUUGAUAUUUGUUCUCAAUAGAUUGACAAUGUGCCACGUCAAGCUUGUUUUCGCUUAUCUGAUUACUGGUUUGGAUUUUUCGCAGCUGCUCAGUUCUUCAUUCCUGCUGUUGUUAAUAUAUCGAGCAAAGGGAGCGCUUGCGAGAUAUAAUGCACUGAAUGUUCAAUCUAUUCUUGAUAGAUUCGCCAAUUCGGAACAGUUUUACAAGAACCCUAAUUUAACUUUGAAAAUGAAAAAUGCAUAAAAUUCUGUAAUUUAAUUUGAAAUCUGAGAUCAAUCUUGUCAAAAUUGAUGCUGAUUACGAAAGUGAAACCCCAUAGGAAUUUGAACGAUGAACCUGGAACUUGUAAGAAGUUUCUUGUUGAUCCCACCUUUGAACUUGAAAUACACUGGUUAAAAUAUAAAUGAAAGUGAAAAAACAUGGUUAACAGAAAAUAAAUGUGUUAAAAAUAGCAAUGAUUUUGAAAAUGAAGCUAACAUGGGUGUUAGCAUUUUUUCUAGUAACGCACGGAAUCCUAUUUUUACUUUCAUUUUUAAACAUAAAAAAUUAACUGUGGUGUAAUAUACACCACAUGCCUAAAAACUAGAGUAUAAUAAUGUCACUAUUAAAGUUUUUACUUUCAUUUUUAAAAAUAAAAAAUUAACUGUGGUGUAAUAUACACCACAUGUCUAAAAACUAGAGUAUAAUAAUGUCACUAGUAAAGGUAAAAGUGACUAUGCUCAACAAAAUGAAACAAGGCACGAAGACAUUUUAACAUUUAUAAAGUGUGUAUCUUUAGUUCUCCAGUCCACUUUAAUCCAUAUAUAAGUCCGUUUAUCACAAAUUUCAAACUAAAGACUUCGUUUAUACCAUUUGAAAACACCUGUUGUGCCUUUAAAAGGAUCAAGAAUACCACAAGAGCCUUUAAAUAUGACUAAAGACACCAUAUGUACCUUAGACACUACUUGAGUCUUGAAAAUAGUUAAUUGCUCAUCAUAUGUCUUUAGAUUCAUCAUGUGUCGUUAAUAUAGUUAAAGAUACCUUGCCUCAUAUGCCUUUGGACACAUCUUGUGUCAUUAAAGGGGAUUUGAGACUCAAGAACUCCACUUGAGUACUUAUCACUAAAGUUUCUUGUUUAAUCUUAUCAUUAUCAUUUCAAUCAUCUCAAACUUCAUUCAUAAUAAGGGUAACAAAACAAAGGUAUGGAAUAAGCUUCAAAUUGAUUGCACUUUCUUUGUAUCUUUUCUAUGGCCAAACUGUCUACAAAGCCAUGCUUAACAUUCAAAAACUCAACAACCUUUCCAUAUCUUCACCCAUUUAACCCCUUAAUUGACCCUACUAUGCACAUUUAGGAGUUCGUUAUACUAUAUUUUAGCUGUAAAAUGUCGUUUGACAACAACUUUUGAGAUGUAUAUCUACCUCUUUACCCAACGAGACCAUACAUGUAAGGGUUUAU